UACGUAGGCAGCGAGCGUUGUUCGGAGUUACUGGGCGUAAAGAGUGCGUAGGCGGUGGCCCAAGUCUGGUGUGAAAUCUCCCGGCUUAACCGGGAGGGUGCGCCGGAAACUGGGUUGCUUGAGUACUGGAGAGGCAGGCGGAAUUCCUGGUGUAGCGGUGAAAUGCGUAGAUAUCAGGAGGAACACCCGUGGUGUAGACGGCCUGCUGGACAGUGACUGACGCUGAGGCACGAAAGCGUGGGGAGCAAACAGGAUUAGAAACCCGUGUAGUCC
rnacentral:rRNA from 1 species